UACGUAGGGUGCGAGCGUUGUCCGGAAUUACUGGGCGUAAAGCGCGUGUAGGCUGCUUGGAAAGUCGGAUGUGAAAGCCCCGGGCUCAACCUGGGAAGUGCAUUCGAAACUUCCGAGCUGGAGUCCUGGAGAGGAAGGCGGAAUUCUCGGUGUAGAGGUGAAAUUCGUAGAUAUCGAGAGGAACACCGGUGGCGAAGGCGGCCUUCUGGACCGACAUUGACGCUGAGGAGCGAAAGCUAGGGGAGCAAACGGG
rnacentral:rRNA from 1 species